AGCGAACGUUAGCGGCGGGCCUAACACAUGCAAGUCGAACGCGAAAGGUCUUCGGACUGAGUAGAGUGGCGCACGGGUGAGUAACACGUAGGUAAUCUACCCUUUGGCGGGGGAUAACGUUCCGAAAGGAGCGCUAAUACCGCAUAAGACCACGGAGUCUCCGGACGCUGUGGGAAAAGGUGGCCUCUUCUUGAAAGCUACCACCGAAGGAUGAGCCUGCGUCCCAUCAGCUAGUUGGUAAGGUAAUGGCUUACCAAGGCGAAGACGGGUAGCUGGUUUGAGAGAAUGAUCAGCCACACUGGCACUGGAACACGGGCCAGACUCCUACGGGAGGCAGCAGUGAGGAAUAUUGGGCAAUGGGCGAAAGCCUGACCCAGCCACGCCGCGUGAGUGAUGAAGGCCCGUCGGGUCGUAAAGCUCUGUGGAGAGGGACGAAAACCCUGGUUUCAAAUAGGCUCCAGGCUUGACGGUACCUCUUUAGCAAGCACCGGCUAACU
rnacentral:rRNA from 1 species